rnacentral:rRNA from 1 species
UGGGGAAUUUUGGACAAUGGGGGAAACCCUGAUCCAGCCAUCCCGCGUGUGCGAUGAAGGCCUUCGGGUUGUAAAGCACUUUUGGCAGGAAAGAAACGUCAUGGGUUAAUACCCCGUGAAACUGACGGUACCUGCAGAAUAAGCACCGGCUAACUACGUGCCAGCAGCCGCGGUAAUACGUAGGGUGCAAGCGUUAAUCGGAAUUACUGGGCGUAAAGCGUGCGCAGGCGGUUCGGAAAGAAAGAUGUGAAAUCCCAGAGCUCAACUUUGGAACUGCAUUUUUAACUACCGGGCUAGAGUGUGUCAGGGGGGGGUGGAAUUCCGCGUGUAGCAGUGAAAUGCGUAGAUAUGCGGAGGAACACCGAGGGCGAAGGCAGCCUCCUGGGAUAACACUGACGCUCAUGCACGAAAGCGUGGGUAGCAAACAGG